ACUUUCAACAAUGGAUCUCUUGGCUCUCGCAUCGAUGAAGAACGCAGCGAAAUGGGAUAAGUAAUAUGAAUUGCAAAAUUCCGUGAAUCAUCAAAUUUUUGAACGCAAAUUGCACUUCUUGGUAUUCCGAGGAGUACACAUGCUUGAGGGUCAGUUAA
rnacentral:rRNA from 1 species